UACGGGGGGGGCAAGCGUUGUUCGGAAUUACUGGGCGUAAAGGGCGUGUAGGCGGCCAACUAAGUCCGACGUGAAAUCCCCAGGCUUAACCUGGGAACUGCGUCGGAUACUGGAUGGCUUGAAUCCGGGAGAGGGAUGCGGAAUUCCAGGUGUAGCGGUGAAAUGCGUAGAUAUCCGGAAGAACACCGGUGGCGAAGGCGGCCUGCUGGGCAGUUGCUGACACUGAGGAGCGAAAGUGUGGGGAGCGAACAGG
rnacentral:rRNA from 1 species